AUAUCGGCUUUGAAGGAAUACUAGUAGCGACUUAUAUCCCUGUCUCAGAGAACUGAUGGUUGGUGUAAAUCAGUACAUAUACAAGCGUGAAUUACAAUUCUGGAGCUUCUUUCCCGUAGUGCACAUAGUGCAUGAAGAGGAAGACGGAUCUUUCCGUUAUCUUAAAGUGAGUGGUAAACAAUUUUUAUGUUUACAAUUAGGGUGGUACCGCGAUUUUUAUCGUCCCUAUC
rnacentral:ncRNA from 1 species